rnacentral:rRNA from 1 species
AGUGAACGUUGGCGGCGUGGAUUAGGCAUGCAAGUCGCGCGGAAAGGCCCCGCAAGGGGUACUCGAGCGGCGUAAGGGAUAGUAACACGUGGGUCACCUACCCCCGGGACUGGGAUAGCUGUGGGAAACUGCAGGUAAUACCGGAUAACGUCUCCGGACCAAAGGUGUGAUUCCGCCCGGGGAGGGGCCCGCGUCCUAUUAGCUAGUUGGCAGGGUAACGGCCUACCAAGGCUAAGAUGGGUAGGGGGUGUGAGAGCAUGACCCCCAUCACUGGGACUGGGACCCUGCCCAGACACCUACGGGUGGCUGCAGGCGAGAAUCUUCGGCAAUGGGCGCAAGCCUGACCGGGCGACGCCGCGUGCGGGAUGAAGGCCCUCGGGUUGUAGACCGCUGUCAGAGGGAUGGAAAUGCCAAGGGGUUCUCCCCUUGGUUUGACUGACCCUCAGAGGAAGUACGAGCUAAGUUCGUGCCAGCCGCCGCGGUAACAC